GCCUCGGUGGUGUAGUGGUAAUAGCACGCUCUCCGGUAUGGAUAAAACACAGGUUCGAUUCCCUUCUGAGACU